rnacentral:rRNA from 1 species
CUCAGUUCGGACUGUAGGCUGCAACUCGCCUACACGAAGUCGGAAUCGCUAGUAAUCGCGGAUCAGCAUGCCGCGGUGAAUACGUUCCCGAGCCUUGUACACACCGCCCGUCACACCAUGGGAGUUUGUAACGCCCAAAGUCGGUGGCCUAACCUUUAUGGAGGGAGCCGCCUAAGGCGGGACAGAUGACUGGGGUGAAGUCGUAACAAGGUAGC